GCCGUCAUAGCUCAAUUGGCAGAGCAGUUGAUUUGUAAUCAUCAGGUUGCUGGUUCGAUUCCGGUUGACGGCACCA
rnacentral:tRNA from 1 species